rnacentral:rRNA from 1 species
ACGAACGCUGGCGGCGUGCUUCACACAUGCCAGUCGCACGCUGAAGCUCAGCUUUUGUUGGGUGGAUGAGUGGCGAACGGGUGAGUAACACGUGAGUAACCUGCCUCCUUCUUUGGGAUAACGCCCGGAAACGGGUGCUAAUACUGGAUAUUCACUGGUCUUCGCAUGGGGGUUGGUGGAAAGGGUUUUUCUGGUGGGGGAUGGGCUCGCGGCCUAUCAGCUUGUUGGUGGGGUGAUGGCCUACCAAGGCUUUGACGGGUAGCCGGCCUGAGAGGGUGACCGGUCACAUUGGGACUGAGAUACGGCCCAGACUCCUACGGGAGGCAGCAGUGGGGAAUAUUGCACAAUGGGCGCAAGCCUGAUGCAGCGACGCCGCGUGAGGGAUGGGGGCCUUCGGGUUGUGAACCUCUUUCGCUCAUGGUCAAGCCGCAACAAUGGUUGUGGUGAGGGUAGUGGGUAAAGAAGCGCCGGCUAACUACGUG